rnacentral:rRNA from 1 species
UACAGAGACUGCAAGCGUUAUUCGGAUUCACUGGGCGUAAAGGGUGCGCAGGCGGUCGUGUGUGCCAGAUGUGAAAUCCCGGAGCUUAACUCCGGAACUGCGUCUGAAACUACACGACUAGAGCAUUGGAGAGGGAAGUGGAAUUCAUGGUGUAGCAGUGAAAUGCGUAGAUAUCAUGAGGAACACCAGAGGCGAAGGCGACUUCCUGGACAAUUGCUGACGCUCAGGCACGAAAGCAUGGGGAGCAAAAGGG